GACGAAGGUGGCGAGCGUUACUCGGAUUUACUAGGCGUAAAGCGUGGGUAGGUGGUUCGGUAAGUCUGUUGUGAAAGCUCCUGGCUUAACCGGGAGAGGUCAAUGGAUACUGCCGGGCUUGAAUCGGGGAGGGGUCACUGGAAUUCCUGGUGUAGCGGUGAAAUGCGUAGAGAUCAGGAGGAACACCAAUGGCGAAAGCAGGUGACUGGACCCGUAUUGACACUGAGCCACGAAAGCUAGGGGAGCAAACAGG
rnacentral:rRNA from 1 species